AUUGAACGCUGGCGGCAUGCCUUACACAUGCAAGUCGAACGGCAGCACGGGAGCAAUCCUGGUGGCGAGUGGCGAACGGGUGAGUAAUAUAUCGGAACGUGCCCGGUCGUGGGGGAUAACGUAGCGAAAGCUACGCUAAUACCGCAUACGAUCUACGGAUGAAAGCGGGGGAUCGCAAGACCUCGCGCGAUUGGAGCGGCCGAUAUCAGAUUAGGUAGUUGGUGAGGUAAAGGCUCACCAAGCCGACGAUCUGUAGCUGGUCUGAGAGGACGACCAGCCACACUGGGACUGAGACACGGCCCAGACUCCUACGGGAGGCAGCAGUGGGGAAUUUUGGACAAUGGGCGCAAGCCUGAUCCAGCAAUGCCGCGUGCAGGAUGAAGGCCUUCGGGUUGUAAACUGCUUUGUACGGAACGAAAACGGUGAGCUCUAAUACAGUUUGCUAAUGACGGUACCGUAAGAAUAAGCACCGGCUAACUACGUG
rnacentral:rRNA from 1 species